AGUUAGAAUCAUGUUAUGGAAUUUUGAAUUGUGAAAUGCAAGUCACACUUUAUUGCAGUACAAUCCGUUGUUUGUAAGCAGUUACAUGAACCAAGACUUCUUUGUGUUUUUGUUCAGGUGUCAGAAAAGCUGAGCUGUUUCCACCCCUCCUGUGGGAUGAGCGGUCAUGUGAUCUGCCUCGCUAAACAUUUCCUGAAGUCGGAGCCCACCCACCUCCUGCCGGUGGAGGGCAGAUGUCCGGCCUGUCAGAGCUCUGUGCUCUGGGGGAGUCUCAUCCGCCACAAACACCGCUGCUUCGGAGACCUGGAGGACUUCACCCCGUCCCUUUCCCAGAGUCACUGGGCCGAUGAACUGCAAAUAUAAGGGAGUGGAGCCCGACGUCUGAACACUUCCUUCUUAAUGGACUGUGAUCAUAGAGAAUCAUGUAUCAAUGUGCACAGAUUCUAAUCUCUCCAGGAUCCUGCCAUGUCCAAUUGUAUAUAUCUUUUUUAUUUUAAUCACAAGGUACCAUGUAUUUUUUAUGUAUUCAGUAUUUGUGGAAAAAAUCUAAGUUUUAAUGCAUUGUGUGACAAAGGAUUUGACCUAAAACAUUAUUUAGUAAGUAAUAAAGCGGGACAAGUUGAAACUAAAGAUACUGGUCUGUUGAUUGAAAGUGAUUGUGGUUAUGCAGUUAUAGUAAAUAUACAGGCCCUGUUAUGUUGUAUGGGUGUUCCCUCUCCUGUAGUGUGUGCUAUCGCUUUCUGUGCAUUUCAAUGGUCUACAGAGGCUGAACUCCUUGAGUUCCCUUCAGAGGGAGUUCCUCUCACACACACUAAAGCAUGGAGACAUGUUACAUGAAGCCGAUGUUGAGCAGAAUAGGGCCCUUUUAAUAAAGUUGUAAUGUUAGUUAGAUAAUAAUAAUAAUAACUUGAAUUUAUAUAGCGCCUUUCAUAACCUCAAGGUUGCUUUACAAAGAAACAUACAAGGACAAGUAGAUGUUAAAGGGUGCUGAUCAUUUCUAAAGAUUUCAAUUUGAAUACAUGUUUUUGUUGAUCAGUGUCACAUGUGUAGGCAAUGUGUAUCUCUAAAUGCAUUGUUGUGGGCUCUAUAACAAUUUCCAAUCCUCAAAUGAGCUGGGGAAAUCUUUGGGAUUUUUCAUUUUGUGUCCAAAUAAGGACAGGAGAGGACCUGUUAAUGGUAAUAACACAUUUUGACACUACGCGCUAUACACAAUGUCUCUUUCACAAAGAAAGAGCAGCAGCCAAACCUCCUUUACAUGUUUUUGUAUGUAUUAUUCAUUCAUGUUAGUUGCAGUAAGAAAAGACAAACAUUAUCUAGGUAGCUAUAAUCAUACAAUCUGAAUAAAAAUACUUUCAGGAAAA